UGGGGAAUAUUGGACAAUGGGCGAAAGCCUGAUCCAGCCAUGCCGCGUGUGUGAAGAAGGUCUUCGGAUUGUAAAGCACUUUAAGUUGGGAGGAAGGGCAGUAAGCGAAUACCUUGCUGUUUUGACGUUACCGACAGAAUAAGCACCGGCUAACUCUGUGCCAGCAGCCGCGGUAAUACAGAGGGUGCAAGCGUUAAUCGGAAUUACUGGGCGUAAAGCGCGCGUAGGUGGUUCGUUAAGUUGAAUGUGAAAGCCCCGGGCUCAACCUAGUAACGACAACUAAAACUGGCGAGCUAGAGUAGGGCAGAGGGUGGUGGAAUUUCCUGUGUAGCGGUGAAAUGCGUAGGUAUAGGAAGGAACACCAGUGGCGAAGGCGACCACCUGGGCUCAUACUGGCACUGAGGUGCGAAAGCGUGGGGAGCAAACAGG
rnacentral:rRNA from 1 species